GAUAACGAUUGCGUGGAGACUAAUAUUGGCGUAAUUUUGAGGGAAUCCUUUGCAGCUCUGAUCGUUUGUUUACGCUGAUUUCUGACAAGGAGUCGCAAUUUGGAGCCCUAGUCUGUGCAUAAUGGGUGCUUGUAAUGAAUGCUUGUUUGGAGCCCGGGAGGAUUACGAAGAUGUCGAUCCGGAAACCAAACGUAGGCAACAAGCAGAAGCAGCUGAAAAAAGACUAACCCAGCAAGAGGGCCGAGGAUUGAAGGACCCAGAGGGAGUGAAGAGAAAACUACAGCAGAAAGAAGACGCUGAGAGGAAAGCAGCCAAAGUAGACGACACAAGUGGUCAAGGAGGAUUAAAGUGGCAAGUUUCCUCGUAACAGCACUUCAACCUACUUCUACAGUUGGGCAAAGCUAGUCACAGAAUAAACUGCAAAUACAAGCUGGUAUGAUUCAUUUCUUAAUGGAAUAAAAAUAUGUAUUGAAGCUUAUCAAGUCAAAGCCGUUUUUAGAAAGCUGAUUACACUUGAGCUUGUCCUGCUUGUGACGAACGUCGGGAUGACCUACAGUACUUGAAGAUAUUAACAUAUUGUUGCUGCACAUGUACAUGUUUGCACUGGCUUUAUCAGUCCUUGGCCCUGUCUUAUAAAGAGUUGAUAUCAAUCGCAACUAUGUACAUAAGAGAUAGGAGACUGCAAAUUUAUGAUUGAUUGGAGGACUAACGAUUUAAUUGAUCAAUCGCAACUCUUUAUGAGACGGAGAUCUGCACUAGUCCAACAAUGAUUGGAGGUCAGUGCUAUAUUAUCCACUAGUGUGUUGUUAAACUCACCUGAAAGGCGGUAUAACUCAUGUUAAUUAAGAAACACCUUGUCUGUUCACUGCCAGAAGGACAUUAAAUCAUAUAUUUGAAGACAGAUUUACUGGUAUUGCCCUUCUGUCAAAAAAUAAACAAUGUGUUAAUAUGUAUCUUACAUUUACUUGUCUCACAUUCAUGUACAUCUUCUUUGAAUUUAAAUAUUUAAUUCACAGUAUGUUAAAACU
rnacentral:lncRNA from 1 species